rnacentral:rRNA from 1 species
AUUGAACGCUGGCGGCAGGCUUAACACAUGCAAGUCGAGCGGGGGAAGGUAGCUUGCUACCGGACCUAGCGGCGGACGGGUGAGUAAUGCUUAGGAAUCUGCCUAUUAGUGGGGGACAACAUCUCGAAAGGGAUGCUAAUACCGCAUACGGCCUACGGGAGAAAGCAGGGGAUCUUCGGACCUUGCGCUAAUAGAUGAGCCUAAGUCGGAUUAGCUAGUUGGUGGGGUAAAAGCCUACCAAGGCGACGAUCUGUAGCGGGUCUGAGAGGAGGAUCCGCCAAACUGGGACUGAGACACGGCCCAGACUCCUACGGGAGGCAGCAGUGGGGAAUAUUGGACAAUGGGGGGAACCCUGAUCCAGCCAUGCCGCGUGUGUGAAGAAGGCCUUAUGGUUGUAAAGCACUUUAAGCGAGGAGGAGGCUACUUUAGUUAGUACCUAGAGAUAGUGGACGUUACUCGCAGAAUAAGCACCGGCUAACUCUGUGCCAGCAGCCGCCGUAA